UACGGAGGGAGCUAGCGUUGUUCGGAAUUACUGGGCGUAAAGCGCGCGUAGGCGGCUUUGUAAGUUAGAGGUGAAAGCCCGGGGCUCAACCCCGGAAUUGCCUUUAAGACUGCAUCGCUUGAAUCCGGGAGAGGUGAGUGGAAUUCCGAGUGUAGAGGUGAAAUUCGUAGAUAUUUCGGAAGAACACCAGUGGCGAAGGCGCUUACUGGACACAUAUUGACGCUGAGGUGGCGAAAGCGUGGGGAGCGAACAGG
rnacentral:rRNA from 1 species